rnacentral:lncRNA from 1 species
GUGAUUCAGGUGUAUAUUGAAGAAAUGUGAUUGCCGAUUUGCUUUUCUCUCUUUACAGUUUGUGUUUGUGUCUUUUCGCUUUUUCAGCCACUUUGUUGUAACAUGCUCAAUAUUCUUUGGGGUGGUUGGUGUUAUCAAGGACAGCACGUGAAGCCUGCUGGAAAUCACAUGAUGAUCAUUCUCCUCUGCCUGGUCUGUGUCCUGUGAUUCCUAAAUGUCUGUCAUGUGAUUGUACUUUUAAUGAUCUAGUGAUGUAUGAUUGUAUUCUCAGUUGCUUGAAACAUGCAUGCAUCAACUGGGGAACUGCUUGAAACAUCUGUUCCAUACACCUUAACUUUUUAAAAGAAAGAUUCUAUGAUUUGUUGGUGCGCCUGCUUUGAGCCUAAGCCAACCACAAGCAAAAAAGAAAUUGGCUAGCCAAUAUACUGGAUAAGGUUUUGGCUUCCCACGUUUUCUUCAAUGUUGGCAAAGAAAAAUAAAUUAGAAUUGGAUUAAGCAUGCGUUAAUAUUAGGAAUGAUUCAAGCAAUGCCCAAAAUUUUGGUCAUGACCAAUUUUUUUUCUUAACUGUGUGACAAAAAAUGGUACACCAUCUAUACAUGCCCACUUCAAGCUGAGGCAAAUUGCCUCAAGUUUGGAAAAGAAAGACACAACCUUUUUUUGAGGAAGAAAGACACUCGAUAAUGGCUACACUCUGCAUAUGCUCUUCUCGGCUGCUCAGCCAACCCCUCCUUGCCUAGCUGUUGGCGCGUGGUUUUUCCAUAGUUGCGGUUGGAAAUUGAUCAUUGCGAGGGAUGCACCUAGCCUAAAGCUAUUAGGCAUCCUCUGACCCGUACGGGCAUCUUCAAGGGAAUGCACCAAAAGUCCAAAACCCCUCUGCCCGUUCCGAUUUAUUUGUGGACGUGUUCAUGGAAAAAGCCCAUUUAUCCGUCAUAAAUUAGACACCUGGCGGCAUCCCCCAUUUGUCUGACCCUUUUUGUCCAUUUUCAUUUUCAGCCUAAAUUGAAUAUUCGAAAGACACAACUUAAAAAUAAAAAAUACAUAGUUCAAGUUUAGAAAUAUACAGUUUGAACAUAGAUAUUAAUCAGAGGACAUGUUUAAACAUAAAAAUACUCAAAAGUACGUCACAGAUCUAUUGACUUACAUGAUGUAUUCACAAAUGCUCUACAAGAUCAUUUAGAAGUUAUUGAUGCGCUUCUAGAUCUCGAAGUUGCUGAUGCAUAUUGAGCAAAUGUGCAACCUGAUAUGCCUCUUCUUCCAAGAGAUGGACAUAUGUGCCAUGGUUUUCAAAGUUAACAUUCUGUACACCAUCACCCUCAUCCUUCAAUCAUGUUGUGCAUGAUCAUACAAUUAGUCAUCAUCUUCUACAAUGUCUUGGGAUCCCACAUAUUUGUAGGUCCAUGUAUAAUAGCCCAUCAAGCUUGCAGCACCUCAAAUGCCCACUCCCCGUCCUUCCUAGCACCUUCUUGCAUUUGGGCAAAGAGAGUCUUUUUGUUACCUUGCGACUCGGUGUCAGUCUUCACAAUCGUCACCCAUUAAGGAAAAAUACCGGCAGCAACGUAGUACCACAUGGUGUACUCGUGCCCAUUGAUGGUAUAGUUGCACUCGGGAGCCUUGCAACACAAAGUCUUGCAAACAAUGACGAUCGCUGAAGCACGUCGAUGUUGCUAUGAGACCCUGGCUUGCCAAAGAAAGAGUGUCAAAUCUACAGGUCGUGUCAUGUCACUACUUCCGGUAUGAUGGUGGGCUCUCGGAGUAUGAUAUUGGUAUCGUCCUUAUGAACCUACUAGAUAGUUCUUCCAUUCCUAGUGCAUGCAAUUGAUGGAACCAGGCAUACCGGGAAACCCUCUUCAUUCUCCAAAUGCCAAAAGCUUGGCUGUGUCGGCAUAGUUGGUUCUCUCAAGUACUCUUUGCCAAACACCUUCACCACUAAAGUGGAAAAUCUGACCAUCGCUUUAAUACAUGACCUCUCUGCCAUCCGGAUACACUCAUCAACAGUGUUUGUCCCAUUGUAUCAUAUGCAGAUAUUCUCAUAGCAGCAGUGCAAUUCUAGAGACAAGAGAACCCAAGUAGCUUGGUGCAAUCCCUCUUUAGCGUGAAGUGUCAUAUUCGUUCACACCCUCCACAAUGCGUAAGAACACAUGCCUAUGCAUCCGAAAAUGAGGAUGAAAGAAGCCAUAAUGACAUGUCAGCUUGGCCCAUGAAUAGUCAGUGUAGAGUACCAACGCCACCCUUUCCCCUUUUUGGUUAUCAGUUAUCCUGCUCGACGUAGAACCCAUGAAGUUGAGAAUAUGCUCCUCUUCCUUCUUCGAUGCUCCGAGAAUACUCAACAUUAACAUAAACUCAUAGUCGUUGUCACCUUCGUCCCAUGUCGAUGAUAUGAAGAAUUCGUUGUAAUUAAAAGCAUCAUUGGUGUCCAUCUUUUGCACCCCACAAAUGUGCAACAAGAAAGCGGCCAAACUCUAUUUCAGACAUUUCGUUGAAUAAGUGGUGCACGAGGUGGACGGCAUUUGUGGUCGGGGGUCUAAGACAUACCAAGAGUGGCGUCCAUACGACGAGCGUGUUCGGGGGCAAUGAUCCGGGUGAGCGUGUGACUAGAUGGGGCGCGGGUUGGGGGAGGAACAGAGGAUGAAAGAAUGGAGAUAGGCGGAGGGAGGAAGGAAGCUCUAGGGUUUGAGAUGGGGCCCAUGUCUCGUCAGUCCGGACAACCCUCAUUUCUCCUCCACAUAUGGUCUGGGUUUGGAGAGUUCGGACAACCCAGGCAUAUAUCCUAGGUUUAGGGGAGGCCCUGCUGGAUGGCCUUUCGAUUGUGUUUGUAUCAUAAACGGCCAAUAACUCGUAUUUUUCCUCGAACGAUGCUUCUUUUGGAAUUGCGGAGAUCAUGCAUAUUCAACGUUUGUGUGUUAACAAACCUUUUCUUUUGCUUUUAUAUUUUUGAGAUUGCUCACCACAAGUGUCAUGUGGUGCCUGAGGGUAUCUCCAACGCCAACACAAACUAGACAACGCAUCCGUUCGUGGAUUGGGGGACCAGACCGCGGACACUGAUGCAAGGCCUACCAUCCAAUCAUAGCCGCAAAUGUCUGCACAUUUCGGAAGAAUUUAACGGAAGAGAACAAAUUUGAUGCAUAUUUAACAAACUGGACGAUAUUCAUUCAUAUUUUGAUGAUUUUUACAUAGAACUGGAUGCUUUUCAUCUAAGCUGGAGCAAGGUCAUUACAUCUUGACAUAUUCAACUAAAUUGUACUCUAAACCUAGUCUAAAUGACCGUUGGCGUCCAUUCCCCAUGCCUGACCGGUCAUGAGCCCCGAAAAAUGAAGCUCCGCCUCCGUAGCCUGCAAGCGACUAAUCCGGCAACGAUGAUGAGCCCGUCAAGCUUAGCUUCAAUGGGAAGGGAGGAGUGGUGUGGCCUUCCUGGGACCCGAGCGUCGGCGACCUCCCAUGCUCCACUCUUCUCGCUACCGGCGGCGCCCGCGGACGUGCCGUCUUCGUCCUCGUGGCAGCGGGGCGUGGUCGAGGUGGAGCUGGCGACGUCGUCCCUAUGGCACCGGGGCAAGGCCGACUUCAUCCACCACCUCAUCGAUCUCCUUGAAGGCGGCUUCUAACUCUGUCUGAUGGACGCAGUACCGCCAGCGGGUGCAGCAGAUGUCGCGGGCGGUGUGGUAGGAUUGGACCAGCGCCUCCUGCUCGCCCACGACCAUGUCCGGCGCGAUGCCCGUGCCGCCGACGAGUUGCUCCUUCGCACGCUGGUGCUCGUCGAGGAGGCGAUGGUUGUACGCCUGGUCGCCUUGCGCCUACAGGGACGUGGCAUAUGUCGCUUUUCCAACACCAUGUUGGUGUAGUGAGCUCGGGCCUCGCCCAUGGUGAUGCCGGCAUGGGCCGGCGAGGAAGUUGGCACAAGCUCGUUGUCGGCCGCCUCUUCCAUUGGGGCGUCCGCAGCGCUGGCCUUCGGUGAGCUUGUCCGUCUGCCGACCUGCCAGCCUACUGCAAUGGUGGCGAUCUCCUUUAUUUGCUCGGACUAGAGGCUGUCCCAGAGGGCUUUGGAGCUCGAGGAGGCCAUCAUGGGCAUGCCGUCGAGGGGAGUUAGGGAGCAGAGGAGGUUGAAUGCGGCUGUUGCCGAGCCUGAAGUUUAAAUAGCGUGCAGAUGGUAGGGCAUGCAACGAGGUGGCUAACGGUGGGUAACAGACGGAUGAACAGGUGACGCUGGAGCAGGUUCCUCGGCAACCGUGCAUGUUUAAUGUAGGGAGGCGGACAUACUGGAUGUCAUUUGAACGCCGAUCAGUCGCGUGCACCGGGAUGCGGCGCGGGCGGUGCUCUCAAUGCCGGAGCGACCUGAAAGGUUGCGUCCAUUUUGGGCAGGCAUGAAUGCGGCGGUGACGCUCUGGAGCGGCGGUGACCGCUUUGGACGGGAAACUGCUCGAGCGGAAGAGGGUUUGUGUGGGCCAGGGACAUUGGAUGUUUGCGUGGCAGCAAUCCAAACUCCCGCGAAGCCCCUCAGUUUACUUCCGGUUAAUCUCUGUCUCUACUGCUUAAUAAUCAAUCACCUUAAUAUACUUACCUUCUAAAACAAUUGCACUUUAAUUUAUUUGUCAAACUUCUAAUCAAAAUAUAAGGUAAUUCAAGGGUAUAAUUUGAUAUACAUUUAUUUACACAAUCACAUCAUUAUUAAUAGAUAAAUCACAAGCUAACAUGUUAAAAUAUUUAUAUCCUGUUGCGAUGCACGGACAUUAUUUUAGUACGAGAAAAAUGACAUUCGAACCAUCGAAUGAAUCCAUAUUGUGGGCAGUCUGAGGGUCCAACGGAGAUGCCAAACAACCCAAAAAAAAAAAA